AUUGAACGCUGGCGGCAGGCCUAACACAUGCAAGUCGAGCGAGCGGCGGACGGGUGAGUAAUACUUAGGAAUCUGCCUGAUGGCGGGGGAUAACGACUGGUAAUGGUAGCUAAUACUGCAUACCAUCAGAUGCACCCAUAUGGGAUUAGCUAGUAGGUAAGGGAACGGCUUACCUAGGCGAAGAUCCCUAGCUGGUCUGAGAGGAUGAUCAGCCACCCUGGGACUGAGACACGGCCCAGACUCCUACGGGAGGCAGCAUUGGGGAAUAUUGCACAAUGGGCGCAAGCCUGAUGCAGCCAUGCCGCGUGUAUGAAGAAGGCCUUCGGGUUGUAAAGUACUUUCAGUCGGGAGGCGUUACCGACAGAAGAAGCACCGGCUAACUCCGUGCCAGCAGCCGCGGUAAUAC
rnacentral:rRNA from 1 species